rnacentral:rRNA from 1 species
GACGAACGCUGGCGGCGUGCUUAACACAUGCAAGUCGAACGGAAAGGCCCUGCUUGCAGGGUACUCGAGUGGCGAACGGGUGAGUAACACGUGGGUGAUCUGCCCUGCACUUCGGGAUAAGCCUGGGAAACUGGGUCUAAUACCGGAUAGGAGCCAUUUUUAGUGUGAUGGUUGGAAAGUUUUUUCGGUGUAGGAUGAGCUCGCGGCCUAUCAGCUUGUUGGUGGGGUAAUGGCCUACCAAGGCGGCGACGGGUAGCCGGCCUGAGAGGGUGGACGGCCACAUUGGGACUGAGAUACGGCCCAGACUCCUACGGGAGGCAGCAGUGGGGAAUAUUGCACAAUGGGCGCAAGCCUGAUGCAGCGACGCCGCGUGGGGGAUGACGGCCUUCGGGUUGUAAACUCCUUUCGCUAGGGACGAAGCUUCUUGUGACGGUACCUAGAUAAGAAGCACCGGCUAACUACGUG